rnacentral:rRNA from 1 species
AUCCUACGGGACGCAGCAGUAGGGAAUCUUCCACAAUGGGCGAAAGCCUGAUGGAGCAACGCCGCGUGGGUGAAGAAGGCCUUCGGAUCGUAAAACCCUGUUGUUAGAGAAGAAAGUGCGUGAGAGUAACUGUUCACGUUUCGACGGUAUCUAACCAGAAAGCCACGGCUAACUACGUGCCAGCAGCCGCGGUACUACGUAGGUGGCAAGCGUUAUCCGGAUUUAUUGGGCGUAAAGGGAACGCAGGCGGUCUUUUAAGUCUGAUGUGAACGCCUUCGGCUUAACCGGAGUCGUGCAUUGGAACA